rnacentral:rRNA from 1 species
GGGCCCGCACAAGCGGCGGAGCAUGUGGCUCAAUUCGAUGCAACGCGAAGAACCUUACCUGGGCUGAACUACGCGGGAAAAGCCAUAGAAAUAUGGUGUCCUUCGGGGUCCGUGAUAGGUGGUGCAUGGCUGUCGUCAGCUCGUGUCGUGAGAUGUUGGGUUAAGUCCCGCAACGAGCGCAACCCUUAUCCCAUGUUGCCAGCGGGUAAUGCCGGGGACUCGUGGGGGACUGCCGGUGCCAAACCGGAGGAAGGUGGGGACGAGGUCAAGUCAUCAUGCCCCUUACGUCCAGGGCUGCACACAUGCUACAAUGGCCGGUACAAAGGGCUGCGAUCCCGCGAGGGGGAGCUAAUCCCAGAAAGCCGGUCUCAGUUCGGAUCGUAGUCUGCAACUCGACUGCGUGAAGUCGGAGUCGCUAGUAAUCGCAGAUCAGCAUUGCUGCGGUGAAUACGUUCCCGGGCCUU